rnacentral:tRNA from 1 species
GCCGGAGUAGCUCAGCUGGUAGAGCAGCGCAUUCGUAAUGCGCGGGUCGGGGGUUCGAGUCCCUCCUCCGGCACCA